rnacentral:lncRNA from 12 species
GGGGGGGGGGGGGGGGGGGGGGGGCUGCCGCACAAACCACGCCCCCUCACCGCGAUGAACCAAUCAUCGCACUCCCUUAGCGCCCCGCCCUCCGGCUGGGAGCGGUGAUUGGUUGCUCUGCGGGAAUGCGCAUGCGUACAGCGCCGCUCCGCAGUCCGGGCGGAAGAGGGCGGGGAAAGCGGACGUGCCCUCACUCGCUCUUAAAGGGGCAGGCGGCGGCAGCGGGCGGGGGUCGGUGGGGGGUUUUUUGCGCUGCCCACGCAGCUCCGGGCCCUGAGGCACCCGGGGAUCCGCCACAGGGACGGGGGCUGGAGCUGGGUCAGCCACCACUGAGACGCCACCCCACAUAUGGUGCUGUUCCCAGGCUCUUCUCAAAGCCCAGGCCUCAACCUGUGUGAACACCAAACUGUGAAUUCCCGGUGACUCAUCAUCACUCCCUGUCACAGCGGCGUCUUCUGCCGUGCAAGGCUCCAUUUGGGAAAUGAUUCAGUCUGCAGGAGAAAGAAAGCUCCUCCAGUAAUGUAGCUCAUGGAAGUAGAAUGCAAACCUACUCAGGGUGUCUGCUUUGAAGGCAGGCAGGCAGAAACUGCUUCCCAGCUUCCCUAGUGCACCCAAAGCCAUGGA